CUUCAUGGUGCAGGAUAUGACACAUCCUAAUCUACUCCCCGCUACAUCUCCUUACGCUUCUCAAUCUCCCUCCCCACGUCCCCCGGAGGAGGAGGAGGAGGAUAGCAUCCACCAUAGACCAGCCCUCCUCUGGGUGGGGGUUACCCCAGCAACGCCCCGGUCUUGUUUGACGCUGCGAGAGGAAAUGGGCUGGAUUCCUCAGGCAGCUACAGCGAACUCAUGUACGUGACAUGCUGAUCUUCCCAUCCGCCCAGAAAAGCCACCGGUAGAUUUUCUCAGUCUUUGAAAACCACUGAAACUGGUGCAGGUCAUUUUUCUGAGAUAGUUACAUUACAGGUGAUUUAGCUGACGAUUUUAUCCAAAGCAACUUACAUUGCAUUUUUUCUUAUUUAAUUUUUAAACCAUGGUGUUUUACAUUUUUGCCCGGGGAGCAAUUAGGGGUUAGGUGUCUUGCUCAGGGACACUUCCGACAUGGCACAUGGAGCAGCUGGGG
ensembl:lncRNA